CCUCCUUAAACCCGCUCCCACCCAUUUCAGUCCUGAUAAGCUAAAGAUCUUAAGUAGUUUAGACACACGCCUUUGCUCAAGGAAAUUCACAGAAACCGCCACUGCUACACAUCUUAUGGAAUGACUCACGAGUUCUCCUUCACUGAUUAAUCCUUUUCCUCAUCCCUUCCUCCCCCUCCCAUCUGCCCUAAGAACAAAGAGCUUGUAAACCAGUAAAUUUGGCAGAGCUCAAGAGCUCUGGGCCGUGAGCAAGCCUCCGAUAUUCUGGUCCCCUGAACCCGCCUUUUAAAUGCUUAUUCUGUCUCUUUCUAACUCCUAUGUCUCCACCAGACUCAGGGUACCCACUGGGUGGUGUGGGGCUGGUUUCCCUAACAUUCCCCACCAAAUAAAGCAGCUCCAACCUUCUAGAUGGUUGCUCAGCUCAGAAGUCUUAGAGAAAUUCUGAUGCCUCUCCUCACAUUUGCUCUGUCGGCAAAUCCUGGUGUCACAAGAGGGCUCAGGAGGGUUUCUGGAUGCCAACGAGACCCCAGCCACAGCCGGUCCCCAGAUUCUUGACAUCAUCACAAGAAAGAAUUCACAGAUGGUGCACAAGAAGGCUCUCGCCAGAUGCUGGUCUUGUGAUCUUGGACUUCCCAGCCUCCAGAACUGUUCUACUUGAAUCAUAGUUUCUUUGCUCCUGGGAGACCCCUGCUAUUCCCAGUGAUGCUGCGAACUGGGGUUCAAAGUGGGGUGGCCUGGUGAGGCCUAAAAUCCAUGUCCCGUGGAGAACUGCCUGCAUCCCUUACAGAACCUGCCACAUAUUUCUGCAGCUUCCAAGAGGAAGGCUGGAAUUUACUGAGCUUACUGAAGCCAAUUAUCCCAAGAGUAUGUGAUCCAGAAGCAAGAUAAAGAUCAAAAGGACUCAGCUGGGAUUUGGCCUUCUCCAAGUGGAAGGAAUAAAAUCUGCAAUUGGCUCUGAAAAUAAAAACCAAACAAAAUCUCAGGCAAUCAUAGACAUGGCUCUUUGCUAUUUAUGAGCUUUUCUUUCUUUCUUUUUUUUUUUAAUUUAAACAAAUGUUAAAAGAUUUUUGUGUGGACCUCAGAUUCCAGCUUUACACUGAAACUCAACAUUAGUGUCGAAGCACUUGCAGGCCAUAUGUGCUCCAGCGAGGGUUUGGGAAUGUUGGGUGGUGUUGGUGGGCACCCAUAAUUGCCACUUGCUAUCACGUGAAUGCCUUAGGCAUGACGGAUUGCCAGUGCCCCUCUGAGCAGUCACUUGGAAGCUUUGCCAAAAUAUAAAUAUGUAACAUGAACAGAGGGUGCGUGACUUUUUAACUGCAGUAGCCACCUUUCAGACACCUGAGGCUUUGGUGUCCUCAGUUCCAAAAGCCACACAGCAGCUCUUAACCUGGAGAGAGGAAGGCACCUGGGGAAAAGUCACGUUCUUCCAAAGCCUUCACAUCAAUCUUUCAUGGAUAUUGAGUUUUUAAAUGUUGGUGAUUGUCGUGUCUUUUGCAGCCUGACAUUUGGGAGGAAG
rnacentral:lncRNA from 1 species